rnacentral:lncRNA from 1 species
UAGCAGUUGUCAUUCAGAGAAAUAAUAUUCAUGAUUACCAAGAUGAUCCAAUUUCUAAAUGGCAAAGGGCAGCGGUUUUCAGACAAGACUCGGAGGAGAGGAGAAGCUACCAGCGUGAUCUAUUCAAAAAGCAUUUUUUUUCAGUAGUAAUUGUGAAAAAUUUUCUUAAUUGGAGCUUAAAAGUAGGGAAACAAAUAAUAUAAACAAAAAUCAAAAUAAACUAAUGAAAAUGCCCUUAUUUAUGUCAUUCAUCAGACCAUAGAUUUCUAUUUCUACUAAGAGAAAUAAGCCAGUUGCCAGAUCACAAAACCACAUUUGCAACCAUUGCUGCAAUGAAUAGAGAGAAGAAAAAAAAAAGCAUGACAUAAAAUAAA